UCCCUAUGAGGAGCCAGCCUGAGGAC
rnacentral:piRNA from 1 species